UGGGGAAUAUUGCACAAUGGGCGAAAGCCUGAUGCAGCGACGCCGCGUGGAGGAUGAAGGUUUUCGGAUUGUAAACUCCUGUUAAGUGGGAAGAAAGAAUGUGUGUUAAUACCACAUAGAGAUGACGGUACCACUAGAGAAAGCACCGGCUAACUUCGUGCCAGCAGCCGCGGUAAUACGAGGGGUGCAAGCGUUAUUCGGAAUAACUGGGCGUAAAGAGCGCGUAGGCGGCUUGUUAAGUCUGUUGUUAAAUUGUCUGGCCUAACCAGAUGUCGGCAAUAGAAACUGUCAAGCUAGAGGACAAGAGAGAGGGGUGGAAUUCUCGGAGUAGCGGUAAAAUGCGUAGAUCUCGAGAGGAACACCAAUGGCGAAGGCAGCCCCUUGGCUUGUAUCUGACGCU
rnacentral:rRNA from 1 species